GGCGGUGUAGCUCAGUGGCAGAGCAGGGGUCUCAUAAGCCCCGUGUCGGAGGUUCAAUUCCUCCCACCGCCACCA
rnacentral:tRNA from 1 species